GGUAGCGUGGCUGAGCGGUAUAAGGCGCUGGUUUAAGGCACCAGUCAUUUCGAUGGCGUGGGUUCGAAUCCCACCGCUGCCA
rnacentral:tRNA from 1 species